rnacentral:rRNA from 1 species
UACGUAGGGGGCUAGCGUUAUCCGGAAUUACUGGGCGUAAAGGGUGCGUAGGUGGUUUCUUAAGUCAGAGGUGAAAGGCUACGGCUCAACCGUAGUAAGCCUUUGAAACUGGGAAACUUGAGUGCAGGAGAGGAGAGUGGAAUUCGUGGUGUAGCGGUGAAAUGCAUAGAUAUCACGAAGAACCCCGAUUGCGAAGGCAGCAUACCGGCUCCACACUGACGCUGAGGCACGAAAGCGUGGGUAUCGAACAGG